rnacentral:rRNA from 1 species
UACGUAGGGUGCAAGCGUUGUCCGGAAUUAUUGGGCGUAAAGAGCUCGUAGGCGGUUCGUCGCGUCGGCUGUGAAAACCUGAGGCUCAACCUCAGGCCUGCAGUCGAUACGGGCGGACUUGAGUACUGCAGGGGAGACUGGAAUUCCUGGUGUAGCGGUGGAAUGCGCAGAUAUCAGGAGGAACACCGAUGGCGAAGGCAGGUCUCUGGGCCAUUACUGACGCUGAGAAGCGAAAGCAUGGGGAGCGAACAGG